rnacentral:rRNA from 1 species
GAUGAACGCUGGCGGCGUGCUUAACACAUGCCAGUCGAACGGAAAGGCCAGUGCUUGCCCUGGUACUCGAGUGGCGAACGGGUGAGUAACACGUGGGUGAUCCGCCCUGCACUUCGGGAUAAGCCUGGGAAACUGGGUCUAAUACCGGAUAGGACAAUGGUUUGGAUGCCGUUGUGGAAAGUUUUUUCGGUGUGGGAUGAGCUCGCGGCCUAUCAGCUUGUUGGUGGGGUAUUGGCCUACCAAGGCGUCGACGGGUAGCCGGCCUGAGAGGGUGUACGGCCGGAGUGGAACAGAGAUACAGGCAGGAGUCCGACGGGAGGCAGAAGGGGGGAAUAUUGGACAAAGGGAGCAAGCCUGAGGGAUGGAGGCCGCGGGGUGGAUAACGGCCUUCGGGUGGUAAACACCUAUGGGUAGGGAAGAAGGGAAUUUGUGACGGUACCUGGAGAAGAAGCACCGGCUAACUACGUG